AGAGUGGAAGCAGGUGUGAGAGGGUCCAGCAGAAGCAAACAUGGCUGCCAAAGUGUUUGAGUCCAUUGGCAAGUUUGGCCUGGCCUUAGCUGUUGCAGGAGGCGUGGUGAACUCUGCCUUAUAUAAUGUGGAUGCUGGGCACAGAGCUGUCAUCUUUGACUGGUUCCAUGGAGUACAGGACAUUGUGGUAGAGGAAGGGACUCACUUUCUCAUCCCAUGGGUACAGAAACCAAUUAUCUUUGACUGCCAUUCUUGACCACGCAAUGUGCCAGUCAUCACUGGUAGCAAAGAUUUACAGAAUGUCAACAUCACACUGCGCAUCCUCUUCCGACUCGUCGCUAGCCAGCUUCCUCGCAUCUUCAGCCUCAGAGAGGACUAUGAUGAGCGUGUGCUGCCAUCCAUCACGACCGAGAUCCUCAAGUCAGUGGUGGCUCGCUUUGAUGCUGGAGAACUAAUCACCUCCCUGCCGGCGGGUCAGUCCGUGCUCCUCCAGCUGCCCCAGUGAGGGCCCACCCUGCCUGCACCUCCGCGGGCUGACUGGGCCACAGCCCCGAUGAUUCUUAACACAGCCUUCCUUCUGCCCCCACCCCAGAAAUAACUGUGAAAUUUCAUGAUUGGCUUACAGUGAAGGAAAUAAAGGUAAAAUCACUUCAGAUCUCU